GACGAACGCUGGCGGCGUGCUUAACACAUGCAAGUCGUACGGUAAGGCCCUUUCGGGGGUCCACGAGUGGCGAACGGGGGAGUAACACGUGAGUAACCUGCCCACAACUUUGGGAUAACGCUAGGAAACUGGUGCUAAUACUGGAUAUGUGCCCCUGCUGCAUGGGGGGGGUUGGAAAGCGCCGGCGGUUGUGGAUGGACUCGCGGCCUAUCAGCUUGUUGGUGGGGUAGUGGCCUACCAAGGCGGCGACGGGUAGCCGGCCUGAGAGGGUGACCGGCCACAUUGGGACUGAGAUACGGCCCAGACUCCUACGGGAGGCAGCAGUGGGGAAUAUUGCACAAGGGGCGCAAGCCUGAUGCAGCAACGCCGCGGGCGGGAUGACGGCCUUCGGGUUGUAAACCGCUUUCAGCAGGGACGAAGCUUUUUGUGACGGUACCUGCAGAAGAAGCACCGGCUAACUACGUG
rnacentral:rRNA from 1 species